rnacentral:rRNA from 1 species
UAUGUAAUCUGCCCUUACUGAGGAAUAGCUUUCGGAAACGGAAAUUAAUACCUCAUAAUAUAACCGGGUGGCAUCACCUGGUUAUUAAAGCUUCUGCGGUAAGGGAUGAGCAUGCGUCCCAUUAGCUAGUUGGUGAGGUAACGGCUCACCAAGGCUACGAUGGGUAGCUGGUCUGAGAGGAUGAUCAGUCACACGGGCACUGAGACACGGGCCCG